rnacentral:rRNA from 1 species
UACAGAGGUCCCAAGCGUUGUUCGGAUUCAUUGGGCGUAAAGGGUGCGUAGGUGGCGCCGUAAGUCGGGUGUGAAAUUUCGGAGCUUAACUCCGAAACUGCAUUCGAUACUGCGGUGCUUGAGGACUGGAGAGGAGACUGGAGUUCAUGGUGUAGCAGUGAAAUGCGUAGAGAUCAUGAGGAAGACCAGUGGCGAAGGCGGGUCUCUGGACAGUUCCUGACACUGAGGCACGAAGGCCAGGGGAGCAAACGGG